GAUGAACGCUGGCGGCGUGCCUAAUACAUGCAAGUCGAGCGAACAGACGAGGAGCUUGCUCCUCUGACGUUAGCGGCGGACGGGUGAGUAACACGUGGAUAACCUACCUAUAAGACUGGGAUAACUUCGGGAAACCGGAGCUAAUACCGGAUAAUAUAUUGAACCGCAUGGUUCAAUAGUGAAAGACGGUUUUGCUGUCACUUAUAGAUGGAUCCGCGCCGCAUUAGAUAGUUGGUAAGGUAACGGCGUACCAAGGCAACGAGGCGUAGCCGACCUGAGAGGGUGAUCGCCCACCCUGGAACUGAGACACGGACCAGAGUCCUACGGGAGGCAGCAGUAGGGAAUGUUCCGCAAUGGGCGAAAGCAUUACGGAACAACGCCGCGUGAGUGAUGAAGGUCCUCGGAUCGUAAAAAUCUGUUACUAGGGAAGAACAAAUGUGUAAGUAACUGUGCACGUCUUGACGGUACCUAAUCAGAAAGCCCCGGCUAACUACGUG
rnacentral:rRNA from 1 species